rnacentral:lncRNA from 1 species
CUCUAGUAAAAGUGGAGACCUUAAUUUUUUCUAUAAUAAUGGCUGGAUUCUCUUUUUAAGUAGUUUGCCACUCACUCAGCUGAUACAGAAUUGUUCUGAGGAGACACUUACUAUUUUUAUUGAUAUAGGGAAGAAGUUCUGACUAAGAAGCAAACCAAGAAUUUGGAAUAUAAGCAGGAAAUGAGACACCUGAGGUCAUGGGGCGAAAUUACUGGAUGAAAGAGGAACCAAUAAUGCCAGCACUGAACUGGAAGCCCUUUAUCUAUGGAGGUUUAGCAUCAAUCACUGCAGAAUGUGGUAAGAGUUUGCUUUAAUUGUUGACAUGAUUUUCUUUACUUGGACAGUCUCUAUGUAAAACAAAUAGGGUUCCAUGCUGCCGGUGACACAGUGGUAUAUGGUGGCCUGC